rnacentral:rRNA from 1 species
GACGAACGCUGGUGGCGUGCUUAACACAUGCAAGUCGAACGGAAAGGCCCUGCUUUUGUGGGGUGCUCGAGUGGCGAACGGGUGAGUAACACGUGAGUAACCUGCCCUUGACUUUGGGAUAACUUCAGGAAACUGGGGCUAAUACCGGAUAGGAGCUCCUGCUGCAUGGUGGGGGUUGGAAAGUUUCGGCGGUUGGGGAUGGACUCGCGGCUUAUCAGCUUGUUGGUGGGGUAGUGGCUUACCAAGGCUUUGACGGGUAGCCGGCCUGAGAGGGUGACCGGCCACAUUGGGACUGAGAUACGGCCCAGACUCCUACGGGAGGCAGCAGUGGGGAAUAUUGCACAAUGGGCGGAAGCCUGAUGCAGCAACGCCGCGUGCGGGAUGACGGCCUUCGGGUUGUAAACCGCUUCCGCCUGUGACGAAGCGUGAGUGGCGGUAAUGGGUAAAGAAGCACCGGCUAACUACGUG